GGCGUGUAAGGGGUGGCGCAGGGCUUGCACUUGCAUGCCAUUUAGAAACGUUUUGGGGACCAGCCCCUGCAGACCAGUUGAUGGUCCAAACCCAAGGAUGCUAAAUGCUGAGCUCCUCCGUGACUCUUCAGAGUGGCACCUGGACCGAAUUCUUUCUGCUUUUGAUUCCUGGCGUUGCUCUCUACAUAGGCUACAACCUACUGGGCAUGCGUGCCUCAGAUUUUACUGGGUGAGGCAGGUGCAUUGUGGUUGCAGAGGCCUCAGCUGGUGUCCAGCCUUCCUGGAGCAGCGCUGUCCAAACACCAUGGAGACUUUCUACCCCACACCAUGCUGCACCAAGGGCCAGGCGCAAACUGUUGUCCACUACUUACUGUGGUCUAAGUAAGGUCCUAGUCCCUUAUUGGAGUGAGGUGUUGCAGAUGGCAGAUGGGGAGGCAGGCUGCCCGGGACUCUGCCAGUGUGGCCCUCCUCGUCACGGCCCAGGGUGGCCACAUCGGCUUCCUGGAGGGGCUGCUGCCCUGCGGGAGCUGCUACAUGAGCCGCCUGCUCUACCAAUAUGCGGCGGCUGUCUUCCAGCACCCCAAGGAGCUGCUGGGCCUCGGGGCCCCCUCCCCUUCUGAGGGAGGCAAGAGCUGACAGGAGUACCUUUGAGGC